rnacentral:tRNA from 5 species
GCGAUCGUGGUGCAGCGGCAAGCACCUCUGGCUUCCACCCAGAAGACACGAGUUCGAGUCUCGUCGAUCGCU